UACGUAGGGUGCGAGCGUUGUCCGGAAUUACUGGGCGUAAAGAGCUCGUAGGUGGUUUGUCGCGUUGUUCGUGAAAACUCACAACUCAAUUGUGGGCGUGCGGGCGAUACGGGCAAACUGGAGUGUUGCAGGGGAGACUGGAAUUCCUGGUGUAGCGGUGAAAUGCGCAGAUAUCAGGAGGAACACCAGUGGCGAAGGCGGAUCUCUGGGCCGUAACUGACGCUGAGGAGCGAAAGCAUGGGGAGCGAACAGG
rnacentral:rRNA from 1 species